rnacentral:ribozyme from 14 species
AGAAAAUAAAGUGACAAAGUAUGUGGCUUGAUGACUGAAGUGUUGAAGCUCCUUUUACCUUUUUUUUUUUCCUUUUUCUUCCU